GUGCUCGCUUUGGCAGCACAUAUACUAAAAUUGGAACAAUACGGAGAAGAUUAGCAUGGCCCCUGCGCAAGGAUGACACGCAAAUUUGUGAAGUGUUCCAUAUUUUU
rnacentral:snRNA from 1 species